ensembl:ncRNA asRNA:CR44807 antisense RNA:CR44807
AUUUUUCAAGUUGUUUAUUUCUAAUCAUAAUUUUAAUUAACAAUUAGACACAAUUUAAAGCAUAGCGAUCACAAUUUGAAUUGGUAACCUAACAUUUGAAGAUUCCCUGUCGGAGUGGCCCAUUGGGGGUCACUGGAAAAUCGAGCGAGUCUAGGGCGACUACGAGGCACUGCGGCUAGAACUAUGAGUAUGGCUAAAACUAGCUAAGCUAAGACCUGUUUUAAGACUAAAGCCCCCCGACCUAGGCCUCCAGCCCCCGGGUGUCCUUCAAUGGCUCCAGGGGCUGCAGGUUGACCGUCUUGUAGCCUCGAUCCCGCCGGAACCAGAGCCAGUUGUCCCCGUUGAAAUAGUCCUCGAUGUGCUCCAGGCUGCGGCCCUUCGUCUCCGGCUGGAAAAGGCACAUAAAGGCAGUGAGCAGGAAACUGGACACGCCGAAGACCAGGAACACGCCGCGCAUCUUGAGCAUGGCCUGCAAAGCGGGAAACUUCUUCGCGAAGAUGAACAGAGCGACGUUCAUGGAGGCAAACACUCCGCCGGCAGUCCGUCCGCGUAUCCUAGCCGGGAAGAGCUCGCCGAUCAUAAUGCCGGGCAUCACCAUCAGAGCCGUGUUGAAGAUGAUGUAGCCCAAGAGACAGCCGGCACCAACGAAUACGUCGUACGACAUUUUCGGUUGAUCGAAUCUGGCAUACUGAUAGACACUGAGCACCAGGCAGAACAAGCCGGAGCCGAUUCCCGACACUAUCAUGAUCCUGCGGCGGCGAACGAAGAUCAGGACUACGCAGAAGACCAUGCAGCAGAUCACCCGGACAACUGCCGUCGCAAUGGCCGCCUGCUUGGAGUCGAACUCCGCUCCGAACUCCGAGAUCAUGUCCACGGCAUAGAAGAUCACGAUGAACGUGCCGGAGAACAUCUGCAGCAGCGAGAACACGAUCACAAUGACCAGCGGCUUGAUGGCCACGCGCUGGCAGCACAGCUGGAAGAUGUUCUCGUUCGUCUUGGUGGUCACCCGCUCCUUGGCCAGCCUCUGCUUCAUAUCAUUCAGCUCCUUCUGCGCACUGAUCUCGCUGCCCCGCAGGAACGAGAGGGCCUGCAGCGCACGCUUCUCGUGGCCAUUGCGGAGUAGCCAGGCCGGAGUCUCCGGUAUAAACGAGAUAGACACCAUGGACAGCAGGGGCAGCACGUUGGCGCACCACGCAACACUACGCCAGUACAUCAUGGAGCCCAGGGAGUAGACCAUUAGGAUGCCGCUUGAGUAGGCCACAUAGGGCGCGCCGAUCAGCAGACUCCGCAGAUUGGGUUCCGCCGUUUCCGCAAUGUACACCUUCGAGAAGGUAAAAUAAAAUAAUGAAUGAAGGCCAAAAUAAACUUUCGCCAGCAAAACAAUUUGAUCUAUUCGAGGGUCACGGAAGCAACAUCAACAUCUUAAUCUGUGGGAACUCUUGGACGGCAAUCAUAAAAUCGUAAAUCACGUCAAGAAUCCGGAACUACUACGCGUAUACUGUGUGCGCCUAAUGCAAAUGAUGCGCUGGCCAUUUAAAGUCCCGGCAGCGAUGACGCCGCCGACGAUGAUAAAUAUCGUUAUCACUUUGGCCGCAAGAUAAGUCACGGACAUAUCCAUAAGAUGCUCGUAAAUAAACAGCGCCGGCUGAGACGCUGGAGACAAUGGAGGCGACCAGAGGAGCCGGGACAAUGGAAUACGCAGCGUUAAGUGGCCAAUUGACAAUCUGUCCACCUGCCACGACUGCUCUUUUGUAUUCCCAGUGGGGCAGCGCCAUUUGGGGGAGUUCAAGGCUCCGCCGAUUACGGUUAAUGGGUCACUCGAACAAUCCGGUUCCGCGUUGUCCGGGUGUUUCGGGUGAUCCGUGUGAACGAACCCCUGGCCAGUGGCAUUGAGUUACUCACCUGUCCGGGUCCACCCAGAAUUCCGGUGGCGAAUCCGCACAGGAAGCGUGCAAAGAUCACCACCUUGAUGCUCUUGGCGAUCGCCAAGGUGCUCCAUCCCAGGAGGAGGGGAAUCACAGAGAGAAUCAGGGUCCUACGGCGACCCAAAUAGUCCGCCAGAGGUCCCGACAGCAGGGAUCCAAAUGGUGUGGCCAGGCUAUGGACACUUGCUGUGGGAAUGAGCAGGAAUUAAUAAGGUGUUUUGAGCUUGAUAUCACCUGUUUGAACGCACCUAUCCAGGAGCCCGUCUCUACAUCAAUGGGUAUCUCCGUGGAGUUGUUAUCCAUCAGCUGGGGCAACAGGAUGGCCGAGAAUCCAAUGGGCAUGCCGCAUCCAGCGGAAAGUAAGAGUACAGCACAGGUGGCCAGAAUCUAGAAGGGAACAUAAUAAAAUUCGAUAUACAAUUGG